AUGGUGGUGGUGAAGACCCUAAACCCCAAGGCCGAGGUGGCCCGAACGGAGGCGGCCUAGCGGUUAACAUCAGUAUAACGUGGGGUCUGCAGGACAUGCUGAGAACCAACAUGGGGCCCAAGGACACCAUGAAGAUGCUUGUUUCUGGCACUGGAGACAUCAAGCUUACUAAAGAUGACAAUGUGCUUCACAAAAUGCAAAUUCAACACGCAACAGCUUCCUUAAUAGCAAAGGUAGCAACAGCCCAGGAUGAUAUAACUGGUGAUAGUACAACUUCCAAUGUCCUAAUCAUUGAAGAGCUACUGAAACAGGUGUAUCUCUACAUUUCUGAAGGCCUUCAUCUCAGAAUAAUUACUGAAGGAUUUGAAGUUGCAAAGGAAAAGCCCCUUCAGUCUUUGGAAAAAGUCAAAGUAAGGAAAGAGAUGGACAGGGAAACACUUAUAAAUGUGGCCAGAACAUCUCUUCGUACUAAAGUUCAUGCUGAACUUGCAGAUGCCUUAACAGAGGCUGUAGUGGACUCCAUUUUGGCCAUUAAAAGACAAGAUGAAUCUAUUGAUCUCUUCAUGGUUGUGAUCAUGGAGAUGAAACAUACAUCUGAAACUGAUACAAGCUUAAUCAGAGGGCUUGUUUUGGACCACGGAACACGGCAUCCUGAUAUGAAGAAAAGGGUGGAGGAUGUAUACAUUCUCAAAUGUAACGUGUCAUUAGAAUAUGAAAAAACAUAAGUGAAUUCUGGCUUUUUUUUACAAGACUGCAGAAGAGAGAGAAAAACUCAUAAAAGCUGAAAGAAAAUUCAUUGAAGAGUUAAAAAAUAGAACUGAAAGUCUGUGGUGAUCCAGAUAAAGGAUUUAUUGUUAUUAACCAAGAGGGAAUUGACUCCCUUUCCUUAGAUGCUCUUGCAAAAGAAGGCAUAGUCACUCUGCACAGAGCUAAAGGAGAAAUAUGGAGAGGCUGACUCUUGCUUGUGGUGAGGUAGCCCUGAAUUCUUUUGAUAACCUAAAUCCUGACUGCUUAGGACAUGCAGGACUUGUAUAUAAAUAUACAUUGGGAGAAGAGAAGUUCACCUUUAUUGAGAAAUGUAACAAUACUAGCUCUGUCACAUUAUUGAUCAAAGGACCAAAUAAGCACACACUCAUUCAGCUCAAAAGAUGAAGUAAGGGAUGGCUUGAGGGCUGUCAAAAAUGCUAUUGAUGAGGGCUGUGUGUUUCCAGGUGCUGGUGCUGUGGAAGUAGCAAUGGCAGAUGCCCUGAUUAAAUAUAAGCCCAGUGUAAAGGGCAGGGCACAGCUUGGAGUCCAAGCAUUUGCUGAUAUGUUGCUCAUUAUUCCAAAGGUUCUUGCUCAGAACUCUGGUUUUGACCUGCAGGAAACAUUAGUUAAAAUUCAAGCAGAAUGUUCAGAAUCAGGUCAGCUUGUGGAUGUGGACCUGGACACAGCUGAGCCAAUGGUAGCAGCAGAAGUAGGCAUAUGGGAUGACUAUUGUGUAAAGAAACAGCUUCUUCACUCCUGCACUGUGAUUGCCACCAACAUUCUCUUGGUUGAUGAGAUCAUGCAAGCUGGAAUGUCUUCUCUGAAAGGUUGAAUUGAAGUUUCCCCUGUAUCUGAAUCUUGAAGACUCUGCGAAGUGAUGCAGAGGAAUACAGCUGUGGAAUUUUUGUCCAAGCUUCAAAUGAUUUUCAGAGGAAUUUUCCCAUAUGAAAAAAGGAGAGAACACUGGCAUCUGUUGAAAUUCAGAAGUUCUGAAACUAUAAUUACGGUAUUUUUUUUAAUUGCA